GACAGAGGGUGCAAACGUUGUUCGGAAUUACUGGGCGUAAAGCGCGUGUAGGCUGCUUCGAAAGUCGGAUGUGAAAGCCCUGGGCUCAACCUAGGAAGUGCACUCGAAACUUCGAAGCUGGAGUCCUGAAAAGAAAGGCGGAAUUCUCGGUGUAGAGGUGAAAUUCGUAGAUAUCGAGAGGAACACCGGUGGCGAAGGCGGCCUUCUAAACAGUGACUGACGCUGAGACGCGUAAGCAUGGGGAGCAAACAGG
rnacentral:rRNA from 1 species